UUAUUUUGUUCAUCAGUGAAUGAAAACGGUUAUUAUCCAGAUAUGAAUUCAGCUUAUGAUCCUGAAUUUAUAUUGUUAAAGCAGUCAAUGAUAUUAUUUCAGAGUUAUAACUGACUUAGCAAAGUCACGUUAUUUAUUUAAGCGAGAUGAAAUUUGAUUUUAUUUUUUUUACUCAGGUAGUAAAUUAUUUCCGACUCAAGAAGUUAAUUAAAUCUGCGGAUUUAAUUUAGAUAUCAGAUCAAUGAACGAAUUAAAUCUACGGAUUUAAUUUAGAUUCAUUUUAUAACUUAUUGUUUUUAGUGAGAUAUCACAUGUCGAAAUACGAGAUUUAUUUAAAUAAACAGUACCAAGCAAAUAUGAGCACGCGAUCCACUUUACAGUUACAGAAUCACCGAGACAGAGAAAAUACAUCAUUUAUCUUAUACUACAUUUUUUUAUUCUUCCUUUUUCUUUCCACUACCUUUGCUCCCCACUUCUUGCCUACCACUAUACUUUGCCAAUCCUCUAUUAAUCAUCACCCCACCAUUUUGUUGUUCCACCUGCAAUUAUCGAAGGAAGACUUCAAUUAUUGCUGCCAAAUCCUUAAGCCAUUCCAGUUCAUAUAACUCAAGCAACAACCAAGCAGUUGAAAACAAGUGAGGUCAAGCACGAGAUUAAUAAUCAGUCAAGGAGCUACUGUACCACAAAAAGUUUCUAACAGGUGGG